CUGGCCAGAUAUAUGGUCAAGAACUGAUUGAUCAAAUCACAAACACUAUCCAGGCAUAUCAAGAUUCCCCGCAAAAGGAAUUAACUGCUGGAAGCUCCAUUAAAUCAAUUGCGAGAAGGAUUUCCAUUCAAGAUGGAAAUAAACAAGAUAUGAUUAAUGAAUAUCUAGAGAAAGUUAAAAAGAAUUUGAUGGAAAAUAUUUCCGACUUUGAUAAAUCAGACUCAUCAACGAAGAGUGGACACAGUGGUAAUACCACUGAUGCACAAUCAAUGGAACAAGAUGUUGAACUAACGGAAAGCCAGAUGAAUAAAGUGGAAAAUUUCCUUGCUUCGAUUAAAGAUCAAGAAAGCACAAUAAUUAAAAAGGUAAAGGGGAAAGAUAAGAUAUGAUAAGGAUUCCCUCAGAAGAACAAUAAUAUUUACCAUUAAGAAUAGUUUAAAACAUUAUUGUAGUAGGACCCACUUAAUGGUCCAUUAUUAUUGUAGGACCCACUUUUGGGGUCCAUUUUACUCUUUCUUUGUCUUUAAAAGAAGACUCUUUCUCAUUUGAGAGAAUAAGUCUGAAUAGAGUAAAAAAGUUUUCUCUCUUCUCUCCCUAUUGUAAAAAUAUUCUAGUGUGAAAUAAUAAAGCUUUGGUUUGAAGAAUUUCUUUAAGACAGGUUGCCGAAGAUGUCACUAAUAGUGACUAUUCUCAUAUCACUCAAAAUCCAGAUGGUAAGAUUUGUAUUGAGUUUACUGAGAACUCUUCUGUUUAUAAGACUCCGGCUUAUAGUAGGAGAUCUUUCUCUGAUUACAGAAGAUUUUACCAGAAAUUCAACAUAUUUCUCCAGUAAGUUAUGAAGGUCCUAGCUAUGGAUCAGCUAGACGAAAACCUCUAUCUCUUCAUACUUUAAGUGAUAUUACAAGUGAAGAUUUGGUUGAUAGGGUAAGGAUAGACCCUAGAACAAAUAUUGUUCAAGCAACUAAUAAGUUGUCAGAUUUGGAUCCAACUCAGUCAGAAAUGGAUUUCAGUGUUGAUAAAUCAACAGAUCUCAAUGA